rnacentral:rRNA from 1 species
UACGGAGGGGGCUAGCGUUGUUCGGAAUUACUGGGCGUAAAGCGCACGUAGGCGGCUUUGUAAGUUAGAGGUGAAAGCCCGGGGCUCAACCCCGGAACUGCCUUUAAGACUGCAUCGCUUGAAUCCAGGAGAGGUGAGUGGAAUUCCGAGUGUAGAGGUGAAAUUCGUAGAUAUUCGGAAGAACACCAGUGGCGAAGGCGGCCCGCUGGACAUGUAUUGACGCUGAGGUGCGAAAGCGUGGGGAGCAAACAGG